ACCUCAGAAAUUGCCUAAGAAAUUCUUCAUCAUGAAAACUACUCCACCUAGCAGUCAUGCUGCAGCAGGUGUGGAAGGAAGAAACAGCAGGAGAGUUGAAACAGAAAAGUGAGAGGCAUUAUCCAUGUCUUUUGGACCAUUAAUCUAUGCUUCAACUACCCAUCUUCAUUAGAGGUUUCUCUUCACUAGAAAAUUGACUUCUUAUGUGAAGCAUUGGUACUUAUGUUAGAAAAUCUGUUACCAUAAUAUGGCACUCAGAACCUCUUCUCUACUGCUAUCUCUUUGUGACUGUUCCUAUAUUAAGUUACAACUUUUUAUCCAGUGAUUACAGUUUCUCCUGCUCUCUCUUUCCCAGGAUUGCACCAGUUCCAAAGGUGCUAUCAACAUAUUAAUAGCUGUUUUCACAUGAUUUCUCUUUUGACCAUAACUAUUGAGUAAUCCUGCUUCAGAAAUGCAUACCUAAUGUCCUUUUAAUAGCAUCUUAUAAUCCUUAACUUAAAUUGCUGAGAACUUUCUGUGAGGGUAUUAAGGUGGAGUCCUUCUGACAAAAGGAGGUGAUAUCAGCAUUGAUGAUGAUGAACUAGGCUUGUUGUCUGAUGCUUUGUAAUAAUGGUACUCAUCUCUGGGUGUUGGAAAGAGACCACGCUUUUAUACCAUUCUGGGAAACCUGAUUAUUCUUGGGACAAUCACUUAAUUUUCUUAAUAAAAAAACUAGUCUUAAAAAUAUUUUUUUCAACAGGAAAGAAUGUUUUCUUUCUUCUCACUCCCCUCCAUCAACUGAUUGUAGAGUAAAUUUUAGAACUCUUAAAAUAAACAGCUCAAUUGUUUUAAUAGUCAUAGGUCAAUCUAGACAACAGAGAAAUUGAAUGUAACUGCCCUUUUUUGGUGAGAUGAUAAGCACUUUCUAUUAAGAAAUGUACAGAAAACAUUUUUUUCUUAUAAUGGAGCAUCUUUUACAAGAUGGGACACUUAAAUAUCAACUAGUCCAAAUCCCCUUCAAUUAACAGGGACAUUUUCAACUAGGUUAAGUUGCUCAGAGCCCUGUCCAAACCAGCAUUGGAUGUUUUCAGGGAUGGGGCAUCCACCACCUCUUCAGGCAACAUACUACACUGCUUCACCACCCCAUUGUAAAAAAUCUUUUCCUUAUAUCUAGUAUUAAUCUCCCUUCCUUUAAUUUAAAACCAUUACCUCUUGGCCCAUCAUAACAAGCCCUGCUGAAAUGUCUGUGCUUCUUUCUUAUCAGCCUCCGUAAGUAUUGAAAGUCUACAAUAAGGAGUUCCCAGAUUCUUCUCUCCUUCAGGCUGAGCAACCACAUCUCUCUCACCCUGCCCUCAGAGAAGACUGCUCCAGCUUUCUGAUCACUUUUGUGGGUCUGCUCUGGACCCACUCCAACAGGUUUUUCUUGAAGGCCCCAGCGUUGGACACAGCAUUCCAGGUGGGAUCUCACCAGAGAGGAACAGAGAGGCAGAAUCACCUCCCUUAAUUUGCUGGGCACUUGUUUUUUGUGCAGGAUACAAUUGGUUUUCUGGACUGUUAGUGCCCAUUUCCAGCUCAUGUCCAGCUCCUCAUCCAUUGGUGCCCCCAAAUCCUUCUGGGCAGGGCUGCUCUCAAUCUUUUCUUCCCCCAGCCUCUGUUGAUACUGGAGGUUGCCCUGAGCCAGGUGCAGCACUUCGAACUUGGCCUUAGUGAACCUCAUGAGGUUCAUGUGGAUUCUAUGUAAAUCUAGAUUUAUACUGUAAAUUACAAGUUGAAGUUGAGUUAGAGCAAAUGCAUUCAGAGUUCUAGAUCCAGGACUACAAUAUUUUCCUAAAUUGUGAUAUGGGUAUCUUUGCAAUAUAUUGUGGUGUGACCAAAACCCAAGUUCUUCCUAAAACCAUUUGAAAGUCAGUCCUGGCUAAACCCAUACAAAAAUCUACUUGUCUUCUCAGAUAUAGUAAUAAAUGACUAUUUACUUUGUGCAGUCUGUCAGUAUAAAGGAAUGGGAUCUCUUGAGAAUAGAAUCUUCUCACAUACCAGUGGAUGUGUGUGGUCCGUUUCUGGGCCAAAAUAUUACUUCUUUGUAUACACAAUCAUUUUUCCAUAGAAAUGUCUGCACAGAUUUUAGAGGGACACAUAUCCAAGCAAUGUGAUUAGCUUUCUGCCAAGCUGUCUGUAUAAAUCACACAGAAAAUGCCUCUCAAAGCUGAAGGCCUGCUGUAGAACAGCUGGAACAACAGGAUUUUGAGGAAGAGUAAAACAGACUGUGUGGUAGGGCAGACUUCACAGGCACUGGAGAGAAAGAAUUCACUAAUCUUGAGUGGCUGAUUAAAACAUCUACUGCAGUUCCACGUGGCUCUCUUUGGCCCGCAUUUGAUGCACUGGUAGCUCUGAAAAAUUAAUUUCCUUUCAGCUCUUCUGUUUCAGAGCGGUACAAACAGUAUAGGGUUGUGCUGUGGAAUGGGCAGAGGAUAUAUGUUAAGUGGACAGUGGGUACAUGAGGGUGCAGAGCAUGCAGAGGUAGCGGAGUUUUUUAGCUCUUAACUGUAGGGAAAGGUCAAACUGUCCCUAGCACUGCUGCUGGUUUAGUCUGUGGGGUAGUUGAUUAUUUUACUACAUAAAAUAUCCUAUGAGUGAAUGAGCAUUAGGGAGUAUGAAUGAUCAAGUGAUUUGAAAACAGGGAGAAUCUGGAGAUAACCUGUGAAAUUAUACAGGCAUUCCCAUAGUUAUCUGAGUGUGAGAAAGUUAAUUAGAUAUCAGACUAAUAUUUUGGUGUCUUCUGACUUGAACAGAUGAUUUGUUUUGGUGCUCUAGCUAUUUCUCUUUAUGAAUCUGGAUUCCACCCCCUGCAGAAGAAGUUGGGGUUUAUGUGAAAGAUUUGUACUUUCAUUGCCUUCCUCAGUGCAAAUAAGCCUCAUUUCAGAGCAGUUAAUAGCAACAUUAUAGGGAUAAAUCACAAUGUUUUUUCCCUUGUUGAGAAAUGAAUAUAGACUUCAAGAAGACCAGGCUUGAUGCCUCCCACCUACUUGUUAAUUGAGUAAUUUGAUGGGUCAGUACUGACCACUUAUCACUUCCUGAGUCUCAUUUUGAGAGUUGACACAGGCAUGUGAGAGACAAAAAUCAUAUCAAAAGCCAGUGAUAUUCUCUAGUAGUCAGGCAAAAAACUGACACGGCACAACGAAAUUUGAUUUCCACUGAGAAGAAAGCCUGUUAUGCAUAUUCAUGUGUCCAUGAAGUAGGUGAAUAGAGCUAGAAGGAUAACCAGUAUGACUUGGGGUAGAUGAAUUACUCACAAGAGAAGAGAAUCCUGAAAUGAGUUAGAAAUCUUGCUGUCUCAUUGCUCCGUACCAGCUGCCAAUGUUAAAGAAGAAAAUUAUAUGCAGACUUUCAGAAGUGUUGCCAUUCAUUGAAUAUUACAAUUAAGUGCCUUAUGUUUCUUGAAUUAUCUUAGUUGGUGGGAUCUAGAAUGGCUUUGUAAAAUUUUCAAAAGUAAUGAAAAAUCUAGAUAUUAGAAAUACAGUUUUUCUAUACUGCAAAGCCUCAUUUUAGUAAUAUUAGGCCUUUCUAGGGUUAGAAUGCAGUGUUACAGAUCCCAUUGUGCAGAUCUGAGGUCAAUCCUGCAAACCUACUUAGUCAUUUAGCUCCACAAAAUUUUAGACACUGAAGAAAAUAAUUGUAAUCUAUUUACUCGUCUUCAGAGAGAAGGAAUACUACUGCUGAGAGGGGAAACAUUUGCUGUCUGUCAAACUGAAUUUUGGAAAAGGGGAGAAGGUUAAAGAAAGAGCAUGGAAGAGAUGCAUGAUGAUGUCAAGAGAAGACCUAAAAUGAGCUUAGAAGUGGUUACCACCAUGAAGCUGUCCACAGCUUUGGAGCAGGAAUUGAAGCUUCAUAUUACUGGCUGCUGUCAUGAUUACUGGUAAAUGUUAUCAUUAACUCAAAGAUGGUGGACAAACUGUACCAUAUAGACCCUACGUCUUUCUCAGUCACAAGAAUCAUCUUGGAACAAGGGUGUUUUUGGAUCUGUAUCUGUUGGAGAAGGAGACUCAUUUCUGGUAGAAGAAAUUAGGUUGUGGAACAUUGAAACCAAAAAGAGGCUGAGAAAUAUGUUUGGCCACCUGUUUGUAAUUGGAGCUGGAAUCAUUGUAUUCUGAGCAGUUGCAGGUGUGAAAUUUCCAGCAGGAAGCUCUUCUGAUUUGUCAUAGGAUUAAUGUAAGCAAUAUCCAUAAAAAAAG